UGAAGAACAUUAGUUUUUCUUAAUGUUCCGUUCUGCACACAGCAAUUCUCCAACAGGACGUUGGAGAAAGGCAUAUUGCGGCAUGGAUGCCGCUUAUAUGCCGGUUGCGUCCAUAACCAGUCAUCUGCCCCGGAACAUUUAGAAAAUCUUAUGUUCGUA
rnacentral:ncRNA from 1 species